rnacentral:rRNA from 1 species
CGCACGGGUGCGUAACACGUAUGUAAUCUGCCUUAAACUGGGGUAUAACUCCGAGAAAUCGGUGCUAAUCCCCCAUAACACUGCGAAGUGGCAUCACUUUGCAGUUAAAGCUCCGGCGGUUUAAGAUGAACAUGCGUCCAAUUAGCUAGUUGGUAAGGUAAUGGCUCACCAAGGCUCCGAUUGGUAGGGGUUCUGAGAGGAUGAUCCCCCACACUGGUACUGAGACACGGACCAG